CACGUAGGGCGCAAGCGUUGUCCGGAAUUAUUGGGCGUAAAGAGCUCGUAGGCGGUCUGUUGCGUCCGCUGUGAAAACUCGGGGCUUAACCCCGAGCCUGCAGUGGAUACGGGCAGACUAGAGGUAGGUAGGGGAGAAUGGAAUUCCCGGUGUAGCGGUGAAAUGCGCAGAUAUCGGGAGGAACACCGGUGGCGAAGGCGGUUCUCUGGGCAACAACUGACGCUGAGGAGCGAAAGCGUGGGGAGCGAACAGGAUUGAGAU
rnacentral:rRNA from 1 species